rnacentral:rRNA from 1 species
AUUGAACGCUGGCGGCAUGCCUUACACAUGCAAGUCGAACGGCAGCACGGGAGCAAUCCUGGUGGCGAGUGGCGAACGGGUGAGUAAAGUAUCGGAACGUGCCCAGUCGUGGGGGAUAACGUAGCGAAAGUUACGCUAAUACCGCAUACGAUCUAUGGAUGAAAGCGGGGGAUCGCAAGACCUCGCGCGAUUGGAGCGGCCGAAAGUCGAUUAGGUAGUUGGUGGGGUAAAGGCUCACCAAGCCGACGAUCUGUAGCUGGUCUGGGAGGACGACCAGCCACACUGGGACUGAGACACGGCCCAGACUCCUACGGGAGGCAGCAGUGGGGAAUUUUGGACAAUGGGCGCAAGCCUGAUCCAGCCAUGCCGCGUGCAGGAUGAAGGCCUUCGGGUUGUAAACUGCUUUUGUACGGAACGAAAAGGUUUGACUUAAUACGUUGGACUCAUGACGGUACCGUAAGAAUAAGCACCGGCUAACUACGUGCCAGCAGCCGCAGUAACAC